GUUCUCUUCCUCCUUCUCAAUUUUCUUUCUCUUUCUCUCUCUCUGCUAUAUACAUUCAUAGAAAGAGAGAGAGAGAGAGACGGAAUUUUAGCAAAAUUUG